GGUGGCUCAGUGGUAGAGCGCUGGCCUUGCAUGCUCGAGGCCCUGGGUUCGAUUCCUCAGCACCA
rfam:Dipodomys ordii contig_45417, whole genome shotgun sequence.